rnacentral:rRNA from 1 species
AAAGAGUGCGUAAUAGCUCACUGGUCGAGUGAAUGUGCGCCGAAAAUGUACCGGGGCUAAACCACACACCGAAGUCUUGGGAUUGCGUAAGCAAUCGGUAGGGGAGCAACGAAUACGGGCUGAAGCGGAAUCGUGAGAGACCGUGGACUGUAUUGGAGAGAGAAUGCCGGCAUGAGUAGCGAGAGCAAAGUGAGAAUCUUUGCCGUCGAAAGCCUAAGGUUUCCUGAGGAAGGUUCGUCCUCUCAGGGUAAGUCGGGGCCUAAGCCGAGGACAAAAGUCGUAGGCGAUGGACAACAGGUUGAUAUUCCUGUACCACGACAAUUCGUUUGACUGACGCAGUGACACAGAAGGAUAGGCAGAGCGGGGCGAUGGUAGACCCCGUCCAAGCGGUGAGGCUGGUGCGUAGUGAAGUACGCGUACUAAGGCUGGGCCGUAAUGGGGACCGAAAAUAAGUAGGGAAGCUGUUGAAUUCACGCUGGCAAGAAAAGCUGCUAAGGAGAAUUGUGGUGCCCGUACCGCAAACCGACACAGGUGGGCGAGGAGAGAAUCCUAAGACGAACGGGAGAACCCUUGUUAAGGAACUCGGCAAAAUGACCCCGUAACUUCGGGAUAAGGGGAGCCUCGAAAGAGGCCGCAGAGAAUAGGCCCAAGCGACUGUUUAGCAAAAACACAGGUCUGUGCGAAGUAGAGAUACGACGUAUACGGGCUGACGCCUGCCCAGUGCCGGAAGGUUAAGGGGAAGUGUUAGGGCAACCGAAGCACGGAACUUAAGCCCCGGUGAACGGCGGCCGUAACUAUAACGGUCCUAAGGUAGCGAAAUUCCUUGUCGGGUAAGUUCCGACCCGCACGAAUGGCGUAACGACUUGGGCACUGUCUCAACAAGGGACCCGGCGAAAUUGUAGUAUGUGUGAAGAUGCACAUUACCCGCGACUGGACGGAAAGACCCCGUAGAGCUUUACUGUAGCUUGGCAUUGGAUUUUGGUAACAUAUGCACAGAAUAGGUGGGAGGCUAUGAAGCAGUGACUCCGGUCAUUGUGGAGCCAACUUUGGGAUACCACUCUUGUGUUACUGAGGUUCUAACGAACGGCCGUGAUCCGGCGUUCGGACAGUGCCAGGUGGGCAGUUUGACUGGGGCGGUCGCCUCCCAAAGAGUAACGGAGGCGUUCAAAGGUUUCCUCAGAAUGGUUGGAAACCAUUCGAAGAGUGCAAAGGCAGAAGGGAGCCUGACUGCGAGACCGACAGGUCGAGCAGAUACGAAAGUAGGACUUAGUGAUCCGGCGGUAUGAGAGUGGAAUUGCCGUCGCUCAACGGAUAAAAGCUACC